CAUCAACCCAGACAUUCAACUUUCCAGCUCCUGUCAAAUCUUCUCCAAGUUCUGCCCCAGGUUCAUGGACAGCUCCAUGGUGAAAGGUACAAAUUAUAGCUGAUGUGUGAGAUUUUUGUGCCCGGAGGUACAGUGGUCACUGUGUGACCACAAAGGGGGACUUGGUCAACAU
rnacentral:lncRNA from 1 species